rnacentral:rRNA from 1 species
AUGAUUUACGAAGCAAGAGACAAGAGCAACUUAAACCUGAGAAGAAGGAUCAUGGGAAGAUUCAAAAAAGCUUUAGACUUUGUAGGGCUAAAAGAGAUUACGUGUAGCAACAUGAGGUUUACAUGGAGCAAUGAAAGAGAGAACCCGGUGUUCAGUAGCAUCGACAAGUUCUUUUGCAAUGUAGAGUGGGAAACAUCUCAUGAUGGUUUCUUCUUAAACACUGCAGCCACAUCAUUCUCAGAUCAUUUCCCUCUGUUGCUCUCCCACGCUGCAACCCUGCCAAGACCAGCCAGGUUCAAGUUUGAAUUUUUUUGGCCCUAG